rnacentral:rRNA from 1 species
GACGAACGCUGGCGGCGUGCUUAACACAUGCAAGUCGAACGGAAAGGCCCGGCUUUUGUGGGGUGCUCGAGUGGCGAACGGGGGAGUAACACGUGAGUAACCUGCCCUUGACUUUGGGAUAACUUCAGGAAACUGGGGCUAAUACCGGAUAGGAGCUCCUGCUGCAUGGUGGGGGUUGGAAAGUUUCGGCGGUUGGGGAUGGACUCGCGGCUUAUCAGCUUGUUGGUGGGGUAGUGGCUUACCAAGGCUUUGACGGGUAGCCGGCCUGAGAGGGUGACCGGCCACCGUUCCCUGAGAUGCGCCCCAGACUCCUCCCGGAGGCAGCAGUGCGGCGUAUUGCACAAUGGGCGGAAGCCUGCUGCAGCCGCUCCGCGUGCGGGAUGACGGCCUUCGGGUUGUAAACCGCUUUCGCCUGUGACGAAGCGUGAGUGACGGUAAUGGGUAAAGAAGCACCGGCUAACUACGUG